AAUAAAAAACAGAUCGACUUUUUUUUUAAUGUAUUCAUUCAAAUAAACUAACAUCCUGCCAGGCAACUACCAGCUCUUCACACUCAUGAGGUUGGCUCGGGCAAUAAUACCUGAGACAAAUUUCCCUCCAGUUUAAUGAUAACUAACCUUCCAUCACCUGCUGAGUGGCACCAUCCAUUUUGCUACUAAGGUCUGCCAUCUGUUGUGUGUGAGAAUCUCAGCAGAGACAGGCCCCUUCUCUGUAUGGCGGGGCCAAUAUGCCUACUCCUGAGAUGGGAUUUUAAUGGGUGAAACCUCAGCUCUGAGGACCACUGGAGAAGCGCUGGUUUCCCCAGAGUUUUGGUCAUGCACCCAAUAAGAGCCUCCCGCUAUUGUCACUGUCAACAAUAAGAACUGUGCAUUCCAAAUAAGAAGAAAGCAACACUUUAAAGGGGAAAAGUGGGGAUCCAUGGCACAAAUGGACCAACACCAUUAACUGUCCUUCCUUUUGGAUGUGAUAAUUUCAUAUUUUUGGACCACCCUGUCAGCAUGUCAGAUUUAAAAUAUUACACGUGGAAUAAUGAAAAAUUGCCAACAUCUCACCACCAUCUUUUGAUUAAUGGGUAGUUCCUCAGAGAUUGAUCAGUUUGUUUGAUUUUGUUACCCGGAGUGACUGAUGGCUAUUUUAAAAAAUACUUAGCUUUAGAGUUACCCUACAUGAGAUAAUUUUCAUAUGCCUUGUGUAGCCCCGUCUAGAAUAAUUGGACUUUAUUGCCUUCCUUCCAUGCAUGAACUGAGGUUCCCUGGAGAAGCAAAACAGAUUCAGACUUUGUUGCUUUAAUAUUUCCACGUAGAUCAGCUGCUGUAUUCAUAGAGCGGCUUUGGCCAGAUGGCCAGCCAGCCUUGUAGUGACAUUUCCCAUUUCCCGUCCAUUACUCACCAAUGGAAAAUAAUGUGAUGUGAAUUCCCCAUUUUGGGUAAUAUGUGGUUAUAGCCUUGUUGUACCUGCACUAAAGAUAAAUGACUUAUCAUGCAAUAAUUUCUUAACUCUCUAGGGAGAAAAUAGGAAAAACAACAGUUCACCGAGUUUGGCAGGAAAAGGAACCAUCAAUGUUAAGGCAUUCACAGGACAACUACAUAUAAUUGCCUAAUUUUUAUUUCUUGUUGUUUAUUUUCUGUUACUUAGAGGGAAAGAAAAGCUUGUUUUUUCUGCUUCAGAUAUUUAAGCUCAGGUUUGAGAAGGGGACUUCAGACACCCGGUUUCAGUCCAUGACUUAGGAUGUCCUUUUUCCAAACACUAGUAUGAUGCAGAGCUGGGGUGAUGAAAAUUAAUGGAAAAGAGUCCAAUUGGAUCAUCCGGACUGACUCAAACACACUGAAUCCUUGUUCAACGUUGUUUUAGAAUUUUUAUUUUUAAAAUAUUAGUUAUCACUCCCCAAUGUUUGACACAAUGUUGUCAUCCUUGGUUUUUAACUUUUCUGUUUGAUCUCACCCUUGAAGUUAAUUUUUUAAACUAACACUCCUUUUAAUUAUUGUCAAAGAUGAGUAAGUAAUAAUUAUAACAUUAUCAAUAAAGUAUGUUCAAUUAAAGCUAAUGUUUCUUCAACCCUUACCAUGUGCCAGGCAGUGUGGUAAGAGUAUGCCCCACUUAAAUCACUUCUUUGAGCCAGGUGUCCUUUGGGACAGGUACUGUUAUCAUCAUCCAUUUCCAGGGAGGACAGGUGAGACUGGGGAGGUGUAAUAGCUUUCCCAGGUCCCACAGUCUAGGUGGGAUUUGAACCCACAUAUCUGAUUUCAAGCUUCUAACCUCUCUGCUCCGGGGAAGCCAAAGUGCUAGGCAACUCUUCUUUCUGGAACAGAAAAGAGUUGCUAGGCAACUCUUUCUUUCUGGAACAUUCCAAUGUCUCUUGUCUUUGAAAGAAGACAGAAUCUGUUACAGAGUGAGCUGCAACCUUGCCGUGGCCCUCCAUCCACCGAGCCCAAGAAGAAUGCAAGCCAGGCUGUACCCGACAGUGUUCAGCCAUAGAACUUAAACAAAGAAGGUCACCUGCCUGUGAGUUUACCCCGUUAGUAACUCAAGCCUUUUAUAAACUCAUUUGUAUUCAUCCAGACAGCUGUUUUGGCUAGAAAGAAAUGCUUCCUCCUCACUAGAAUUACAAAUAAUUUGAGCAGAAAGCUACAAGCAAGACAUAUUAAUCAUGUUUGAAAGGAUGUAUCUUUUUAUACAAAGGGUUUGCUUCAAUCAAAAAAAAAAAUCCAAACAGAACAAAACAAAACUUCCCUUGAACUGUACUUAUAUUUACCAGCAAUUUCUAACACGGAGAGAACGCACAGCUUGCUUUAUUUCUUAAUGUAAUCCCCACCUCCCCUGCAGGCACAGGAAGAAGUACGUAAAAUAAUUCAUGGAGAAGUCAUUGUUGCCUUUGGGUUUUCCUGGCAGCUAUGAAAACUACAUUAAAAUGCUUUAAAAAAAAUCAUAUGCCCAACCGCAAAAGCCAUUUUCUCUGCAAAGAGGAUGCUCUGAUUUCUAGCUGAUUCCUAAAGCAACAUGAGAAUGCAUGAUUAUAGGAACCAUUUACUAGAAUGAACUCUUACUCCUCCUUCCUGCUGACCUGACUGCAAAUCAGCUUUUGAUGGGGUUGGACAGUUUGGAGAGAUGGGCAGUGAUCACACUGAAAUAUGAUGACAGGGGCAAGACUGUAAGGACAUCCUCGAGACCGUAAGCUGCAAUAAGAGCCUCCCCUGCUCUGUCCUCAGCACCCAGACCCCCCACCUAGCAUGAUGAUGGUGAGUGGCUGAAAGAAAGAAUGAUCUUCAUCACGGAAGGCUGGAAUGCAUGGAAUGGUGACAACCAUGCAUUCUGAUCAUUUAAAGAUACUGUCUUACUAAAUUCCCCCAAGUACGAGGUGAUCCCAACCUAUGUGUAAA